rnacentral:rRNA from 1 species
AACGAACGCUGGCGGCAUGCCUAACACAUGCAAGUCGAACGAGACCUUCGGGUCUAGUGGCGCACGGGUGCGUAACGCGUGGGAACCUGCCCUUAGGUUCGGAAUGACUCCCCGAAAGGGGUGCUAAUGCCGGAUAAUGUCUUCGGACCAAAGAUUUAUCGCCUUUGGAUGGGCCCGCGUUGGAUUAGCUAGUUGGUAGGGUAAAAGCCUACCAAGGCGACGAUCCAUAGCUGGUCUGAGAGGAUGAUCAGCCACACUGGGACUGAGACACGGCCCAGACUCCUACGGGAGGCAGCAGUGGGGAAUAUUGGACAAUGGGCGAAAGCCUGAUCCAGCAAUGCCGCGUGAGUGAUGAAGGCCUUAGGGUUGUAAAGCUCUUUUACCCGGGAUGAUAAUGACAGUACCGGGAGAAUAAGCUCCGGCUAACUCCGU